UAUUUUAAAUGGCCGCAGUAAUUUGACUGUGCAAAGGUAGCAUAAUCAUUAGUUUUUUAAUUAAAAGCUUGUAUGAAGGGUUGGACGAGAUAAAAUCUGUCUCUAUUUAAUUUAAUAUAAAAUUUAAUUUUUAAGUUAAAAAGCUUAAAUUUUUUUAAAAGACGAGAAGACCCUAUAGAUCUUUAUAGUUUUGAUUUUGAAUUUAAUUAAUAAAUUUUUAUGAUUUAUAAUUUAAACUAUUUUAUUGGGGUAAUAGAAAGAUUAAAAUAAUUCUUUUUUUCUUUAAACAUUUAUUUAUGUUUUUAAUGAUCCAAUUUUAUUGAUUAUAAGAUUAAGUUACCUUAGGGAUAACAGCGUAAUUUUUUUAGAGAGUUCUUAUCGAUAAAAAAGUUUGCGACCUCGAUGUUGGAUUAAAGAUUAGUUUAGGUGUAGAAGUUUAAAUUUUUGGUCUGUUCGACCAUUAAAUCUUUACAUGAUCUGAGUUCAGACCGGCGUAAGCCAGGUCGGUUUCUAUCUUUAAUAAUUUUAAAAUAUUUUAGUACGAAAGGACCAAAUAUUUAAUAUAUUUAUAUUUAAUUUUUUGAAUAUUAUU
rnacentral:rRNA from 1 species